GUCAGCCGCCGCGGUAACACCGGCAGCUCUAGUGGUAGCAAUUUUAUUGGGCCUAAAGCGUCCGUAGCCGGUUUAAUAAGUCUCUGGUGAAAUCCUGUAGCUUAACUGUGGGAAUUGCUGGAGAUACUAUUAGACUUGAGACCGGGAGAGGUUAGAGGUACUCCCAGGGUAGAGGUGAAAUUCUGUAAUCCUGGGAGGACCGCCUGUUGCGAAGGCGUCUAACUGGAACGGUUCUGACGGUGAGGGACGAAAGUUAGGGGCGCGAACCGGAUUAGAUACCCGGGUAGUCCUAACUGUAAACGAUGCGGACUUGGUGUUGGGGUGGCUUUGAGCUGCUCCAGUGCCGAAGGGAAGCUGUUAAGUCCGCCGCCUGGGAAGUACGGUCGCAAGACUGAAACUUAAGGAAUUGGCGGGGGAGCACCACAACGCGUGGAGCCUGCCGGUUUAAUUGGAUUCAACGCCGGACAUCUCACCAGAGGCGACAGCUGUAUGAUAGCCAGGUUGAUGACUUUGCUUGACUAGCUGAGAGGAGGUGCAUGG
rnacentral:rRNA from 1 species